GUUGCACCUAUUCACACAUUCAAAACCCUUAAAUCUACCGAUUCACACCAGAUUUAACCCUAAAUCUACCAAUUCACACGAAAUUUAACCCUAAAUCACAACACCGUAGUUCAGUUUCAUUAGAGAAUUGAAGCUCUGCUUCAUUGUACGAUUCAUUGAUCUUCACAAAUGAUUCAAGUGUUCGACGCAUUAGACAUAUCGAUUGAUCUUGUAAUCCAGACGAUUCAUUGAUCUUCACAAAUGAUUCUCGAAGCAUAUGCACGAUUUGGAUGAUUACGCACACGAUUUGGAUCUUCUGAACUUCGUUGUUACAGAAAGCUAGGGUUUGAUUCUGCACAUCGAUUCACAGACGAUUCUCAGGCUUUAUCUUCUGAACAGGAAUUUGCCAGGACCUGGAGCUCCCCAGAUUUGCAAUGUGGUUAUUGAGAUCACUAAAGGAAGCAAAGUGAAAUAUGAACUUGACAAGAAAACCGGCCUCAUUAAGGAGAACGGGUUCAGGAGCACGCGGAGGACGAAGCUGGUGUGCACGAUCGGGCUGGCAGAUACUGUUUCACUUUUUUUUUUAAUCGUUUCCGAGGGUCGUCUGGUUGGACGGAAGUGGGAGGCAACUGAUCCAAUGGCCUGUGGAGGAGAUUUGAUGAUAAUUUAUUUUCAUCCAUCUGGAACAUGCAGGAGAGUAUCUUGCUUCUGGUGCUGAUGGUACGAGUUAUUAAGUUGAUUUGAUGAUAAUUUAUUUCCAUUAAUAAAGAGACAAAUACACGGUUUAAACUCUUAUAAAUGUGGGUGGUGAGCUGAUAAUAUGGAAGCAGAACAAAAUACUGACUCUGGUCAAGCAUGGAAGGUCCUCAAGACACUAUCGUACGGCCUUUCGUUUCUAACAUAUAACAUAUAUGCUGAUAUUGAUACGUAAGCAAUAUACUAUCAGAUAAGCACUAAAACAAACCAGAAAACCGCCAGUUCACAGUUUAUGUCUUAUCCAAAGUCUACUACCCCUUGGGUUUUCUCAAAAGGUUGUUCGUUAUGGUGAGGUUUAUAAAUCAGAUUGGAAUGGAAUGGUAAGAUGGAUCUGAUCGUUUUAUACUAGUUUUAUUGUAUAUUAAUAGUAGUGCGAGUUCUGUUUUGAGUUUCAAUGCUUGUAAUGUUUUAGAACAAAGUGUUGCAAAAGGAUUGUAGUUUAGUUACUUCAAUUGGAUGGAAAGGAACUGAACUGUAGUUUCGAUGUUUGGAUUUGGAAAAUUUAAUUUUAGUUAUUUGAUGUUUUGAUUUGGAAGUUUAUAUUGGAUGUAUAAAUUUUUACAUUUUAAUGGAAUGGCAACAAGUUAUAAUUGUUAUGUUU
rnacentral:lncRNA from 1 species